rnacentral:rRNA from 1 species
CCUGAUCCAGCAAUGCCGCGUGAGUGAUGAAGGCCUUCGGGUUGUAAAGCUCUUUCGCACGCGACGAUGAUGACGGUAGCGUGAGAAGAAGCCCCGGCUAACUUCGUGCCAGCAGCCGCGGUAAUACGAAGGGGGCUAGCGUUGUUCGGAAUUACUGGGCGUAAAGGGCGCGUAGGCGGUUUGUCAAGUCAGGCGUGAAAGCCCCGGGCUCAACCUGGGAACUGCGCUUGAGACUGGCAGGCUCGAGUUCGGGAGAGGAUGGUGGAAUUCCCAGUGUAGAGGUGAAAUUCGUAGAUAUUGGGAAGAACACCGAUGGCGAAGGCAGCCAUCUGGACCGACACUGACGCUGAGGCGCGAAAGCGUGGGGAGCAAACAGGAUUAGAUACCCUGGUAGUCCACGCCGUAAACGAUGAGUGCUAGACGUCGGGGCCCUCAGGGCUUCGGUGUCGCAGCUAACGCAUUAAGCACUCCGCCUGGGGAGUACGGCCGCAAGGUUA